rnacentral:rRNA from 1 species
GUAGGUGGCAAGCGUUGUCCGGAAUUAUUGGGCGUAAAGCGCGCGCAGGCGGUUCUUUAAGUCUGAUGUGAAAGCCCACGGCUCAACCGUGGAGGGUCAUUGGAAACUGGAGAACUUGAGUACAGAAGAGGAAAGCGGAAUUCCACGUGUAGCGGUGAAAUGCGUAGAGAUGUGGAGGAACACCAGUGGCGAAGGCGGCUUUCUGGUCUGUAACUGACGCUGAGGCGCGAAAGCGUGGGGAGCAAACAGGGAUUAGAUACCCUGGUAGUCCACGCCGUAAACGAUGAGUGCUAGGUGUUAGGGGGUUUCCGCCCCCUUAGUGCUGCAGCUAACGCAUUAAGCACUCCGCCUGGGGAGUACGGCCGCAAGGCUG